rnacentral:tRNA from 1 species
GCCUUUUUUGGUGUACGGGUAGCACACUCGGCCCGUAUUCGAGAGGUCCAAGUUCAAGUCUCGGAGAAGGCA